rnacentral:rRNA from 1 species
GAUGAACGCUGGCGGCGUGCCUAAUACAUGCAAGUCGAACGCUGGAACUCUAGCUUGCUAGAUUGAAGGAGUGGCGAACGGGUGAGUAAUACAUAAGCAACCUACCCACGAAGACUGGGAUAAUCUCUGGAAACGGGGACUAAUACCGGAUAGGUAAUCGGAAGGCAUCUUCUGAUUAUUAAAGGUUAAAAACACUGGUGGAUGGGCUUAUGGCGCAUUAGUUAGUUGGUGAGGUAACGGCCCACCAAGACGAUGAUGCGUAGCCGGCCUGAGAGGGUGAACGGCCACAUUGGGACUGAGACACGGCCCAGACUCCUACGGGAGGCAGCAGUAGGGAAUUUUCGGCAAUGGGGGAAACCCUGACCGAGCAACGCCGCGUGAGUGAUGACGGCCUUCGGGUUGUAAAGCCCUGUUGUAAGGGAAGAACGGUAGAUAGAGAAUAUCUAAAUGACGGUACCUUACCAGAAAGCCACGGCUAACUACGUG